rnacentral:rRNA from 1 species
UACGUAGGGGGCAAGCGUUGUCCGGAAUCAUUGGGCGUAAAGCGCGAUGUAGGCGGCUAGAUUAAGUCUGCUCUGAAAGCCCGGGGCUCAACCCCGGGAGGCGGGUGGAUACUGUCUAAGCUCGAGUCCGGAAGAGGGAGUGUGGAAUUCCGUGGUGUAGCGGUGAAAUGCGCAGAUAUCAGGAGGAACACCAAUGGCGAAGCAGCGACUCCUGGGACGUGACUGACGCUGAGACGCGAAACGU